AGUUAAGCAUCUAAAACCUAACAUGUGUUGGUAACCUACACAUGUUAGGUUUUAGAUGCUUAACUC
rnacentral:pre_miRNA from 12 species